rnacentral:lncRNA from 1 species
GAGCAGUGCUGCGGGCUGAGCACGAGGUCAAGUGGGGACGGGCGCAGGGCUAUCGCCUAGAGCCCUACGGCUUUGGUAUAGCUGGGGGCUGGAGUGGUUCUGACUGGCUAUAAAAGGGAGUAAGCCGCAUGCGUGUGUUGUGGACCUGGACUCAUGUUCAGCUGGCCUGCAGACCCGAGGACCCACUUGUCACCAGGGAGGCCCCUGAUGUUAAUGGCAUGGUGAGGAGAAACGGGAAAAUUAGAGUGGAAGGGCGGCCCAUGAGGGGCAAGAGCAGUUGUUGUACCAUGCACCACUGUUAGAGAAUCUGGGGAAAACUAUGCUGGAGGGGUGGCCCUCAAGGAAAUGGUGAGAGUGGUCAUCAUUCCAUGCACCCAUGAUUGAACUGUAGAGCUCUGAUAAGUAGGUAUAUUUUCAGUUCUGUUGUAUUUCUUGCUUUGCCAUACUUUUACCUUUGUUAUAACUUCUUAUCUCUGAUAAAUCCUCACACUUGAUAAAUGAUGCUCUCUUGAGUUCAGCGCAACUAACCCCGGAAUCUGAAAGAAUCUCUGAUGCCCCUCUAGUGGCACGCCACACCGCCCCAUGGGUAGAGUGACAUGGGCAGGAGCUUGCUGGUGGACCUGGCUUUUGGGAGCAGAGGAGGGAUGGAUGCACACCUGAAACCCAAAUCAGGAAGUUGGAUCCAGGUGUAAAUUUAUUUCCUCUCACUGUUGAAAUGUAGACUUGGAGCAAUGUGUUGGACCUUCCUCUCCUUAGCAGGUUGCGUGCAUGACAGCAGUGGUCUGGAAAAGCUGGUGGAGGUGCUCGCGGCCCCAUGCACCGUAUCCUCUACGUCAUGAAAGCCAAAGGUCUCUGUAGCAACCCUCUCCCUCUGCAGGAGCCGGAGCUCUCCCAGCAUGGAGGAUCUGUGCCUGCUCGGAUCUGGGCUCCUCUGGUUUCUGUCCUGAGAUGCAUGGCUGAUGCUCCGGAGCAGAGGGAGGGUGUUUGGCCGUGCUUCUCUCUAGGAACAGCCUUCAAGACCGCGCAAAGGCAGCAGCUUCCUGGCAGGACACAGGGAGGGAGAAGAAUCGCAUCUCCCUGCUGUCCCUUGGCCCCAACAACCUCAGGGAGCCGGGCUGAAGCAGGCAUCGGAGCCUACGGGUGGGAACAAACCAGCCUGGGAGAAAGCACUACCUCCACGAGCAUGACCCAGAGAAGACACGGAAGGUGCAGCGCAGAGCAAUUAAGUGUCCAGUGCGGCAGAAUGUGCCUCUUCCCUCAGACAAGCCUUUUGCAAGGGGACAGACAGCCAGAGGCUUCAUUAGUCACUUUUGCAGCUUCUUAA